rnacentral:tRNA from 1 species
GAGAAUAUAGCUCAGUUGGUAGAGCAUUCGGCUGUUAACCGAAAAGUCAAAGGUCCAAGUCCUUUUAUUCUCGCCA